UACAGAGGGUGCAAGCGUUAAUCGGAAUUACUGGGCGUAAAGGGCUUGUAGGCGGUCAUAUAAGUUAGAUGUGAAAACUCCGGGCUUAACCUGGAACGUGCAUUUAAUACUGUAUGGCUAGAGUAUGGUAGAGGAAAGGGGAAUUCCCGGUGUAGCAGUGAAAUGCGUAGAUAUCGGAAGGAACAUCAGUGGCGAAGGCGCCUUUCUGGACUAAUACUGACGCUGAGGAGCGAAGGCGUGGGGAGCAAACAGG
rnacentral:rRNA from 1 species